CGGGAGGAGGGGGCAGCGUUGUCCGGAUUAUUGGGCGUAAAGCGCGCGCAGGCGGUCAUUUAAGUCUGGUGUUUAAUCCCGGGGCUCAACCCCGGAUCGCACUGGAAACUGGGUGACUUGAGUGCAGAAGAGGAGAGUGGAAUUCCACGUGUAGCGGUGAAAUGCGUAGAUAUGUGGAGGAACACCAGUGGCGAAGGCGACUCUCUGGGCUGUAACUGACGCUGAGGCGCGAAAGCGUGGGGAGCAAACAGGAUUAGAUACCCUGGUAGUCCACGCCGUAAACGAUGAGUGCUAGGUGUUAGGGGUUUCGAUACCCUUGGUGCCGAAGUUAACACAUUAAGCACUCCGCCUGGGGAGUACGGUCGCAAGACUGAAACUCAAGGGAAUUGACGG
rnacentral:rRNA from 2 species